GUCUCUGUGAAAAACAACAUAUUUUGUAACGUCGCAGGUGAAAAUGGCAUCGGCGACUCCGGGAUGGACGGCACGUUACCUGCAAACCUCCGGCAGCUCCUCCGGCGACGGCGGGCUCGGCGCCAUGUAGCAGAAGAAGGUGUCCCUCCAGUUAGCCACCGCCGCCGUGUACAGGGAAGAUGCCAUGGUAAAUUGUUGGGCUCUUUAACUGGCUUAGCAUAUGAGAAAGUACAGAAGAAGGACGAGAAGAGGAUUGCAGUUUGUCGACCAAUCAAAACAAGGUUUCAGAGAAGCUCAGAGAUGAACGAUGAUAUCUGGCUAAAUCUACUUACUUGCAAUAGAUCUCUGAUGUUGAUCACUAGUGCUCCAGGAAUUGGAGGAACGUUGAUCCACUGGUUCUCAUGAAGCCCUUGAAGUCCUCCAAUUUGAUCUUGGAGGAGAAUUGUGAGGAAGUCAUUGUCCGAAUUCUUUGUCACACCCAGGGUCAACUCAGGUUGGGGGCAUGGCGGAUAGUAGUGGCACAUGAUCGAGUGUCCUUUUCCACACUUGCUUUGAGUACAACAUUAGCAUUUCUCUGCCAGAGAAUUUUUUAUGCAUCAGAAAACCGAUGCCGUAAAAGUAUGGUUGGACAGAUUCCCAGAGAACACCAGAAAGUGUAAUGGUCUGUAUCAAUUUGGGAACAAAAGCUUGGUAUCGCUAUCGCUAGAAUGCAAAUAAAAUCAACCACCGAGGAACAUCCUAUUUCUGCCCAAAAAGAAUGAAACAACCACCUCCAAGGUUCUCGUCAGUGAAAAUGAUCAAUCAUUGAGGGUCAUCUGACUGAUCCGUCUCAUUGAUUGAGACUCGAUGCAAGCUUAUAUGCUAUGACAUGUGCAGCAGAACUCAGGUGGGAAAUGUCAUACAAAUUCAGCGGUAGCAUUUUUUCUAGCCAGCCGAACGAAGGACUGGACACUUUCAUUUCCUCAGUGUUCAUCCCCUAUUCCCACAGUUAUAAUGGAAACGUAUGCGAAUCACUCAAGUAUCAUGUACUUGCUAGUUUAGCCCUUGAUUAAAGCAGUUGCCUUGCAAAGUAUUGUACAGUGAAAAGCGGUUGCCUUGCACCUGUAUGAACUACUGCAAUUCUUUCGCAAACUAUCUUUGUCAAUUCAA